GAUGAACGCUGGCGGCGUGCCUAAUACAUGCAAGUCGAGCGAACAGACGAGGAGCUUGCUCCUCUGACGUUAGCGGCGGACGGGUGAGUAACACGUGGAUAACCUACCUAUAAGACUGGGAUAACUUCGGGAAACCGGAGCUAAUACCGGAUAAUAUAUUGAACCGCAUGGUGCAAUAGUGAAAGACGGUUUUGCUGUCACUUAUAGAUUGAUCCGCGCCGCAUUAGCUAGUUGGUAAGGUAACGGCUUACCAAGGCGACGACGCGUAGCCGACCUGAGAGGGUGAACGGCCACACUGGAACUGAGACACGGUCCAGACUCCUACGGGAGGCAGCAGUAGGGAAUCUUCCGCAAUGGGCGAAAGCUUGACGGAGCAACGCCGCGUGAGUGAUGAAGGUCUUCGGAUCGUAAAACUCUGUUAUUAGGGAAGAACAAAUGUGUAAGUAACUAUGCACGUCUUGACGGUACCUAAUCAGAAAGCCACGGCUAACUACGUG
rnacentral:rRNA from 1 species